CAGAGCCUAUCUCACCCCUCAUCAGAUGACUCCCUGGCUUCUACACACAGUUGGAGUUCCGCUUGAAACCUGGAUUUAGAGGGGCUCUCUCGCUGUCACGACACUCACACACAGCACCCAGAGUGGACUGGCUGAGACCAGAGAGUGAACGAAGCAAAGCAAGAACAGAGGAAGGCACUUAAGAGAGCACCAGAAUUGGAAAUAGAGCAGCCAUUUGGAUUUGGGCAGGAAGCAGCGGAGCACGGCUUUGGAACCUUCUUUAGGGAAAUCGAGUUAUGGAUUUAUAGUCCCGGUCAAGCUCAGCCCAGCCCCAGCCAGGGGCGGGCUCAGCAGCAAGAGUUCUGGUGGCGGCGG